AAAAUAAGAGUUUACUUUAAAAUGUUACGUGCAAAAUAAUGGUUUUGCUUGAUUACUCCAUUUUGGUGAUCACUACGAGCCAAAAUCGUAAUCCCGAUUGAUAUUUGGAUUAAUUGCAUAGCCCUAGCUGAAGGUACCGGUAUC